rnacentral:rRNA from 1 species
CUCAGGGAGGUAGUGACAAGAAAUAACAACACUGGAAAUUUUAUUUCUAGUGAUUGGAAUGAUGGGAAUUUAAACCCCUUUCAGAGUAACAAUUGGAGGGCAAGUCUGGUGCCAGCAGCCGCGGUAAUUCCAGCUCCAAUAGCGUAUAUUAAAGUUGUUGCAGUUAAAAAGCUCGUAGUUGGAUGUCUGCUGGAAGCAAUCAGUCCGCCCUAUUUGUAGGGUGUGCACUUGAUGAAUUCUGGCAUUUUUGUCCCAAUGAUGUAACGGAGCGGUGGUAUUCGGUGAAAGCCGAGUAUCCUGUUUUCCGAUUAUUGGGAUACUGUUACUUUGAGAAAAUUAGAGUGUUUGAAGCAGGCUAAUUGCCUUGAAUACUGCAGCAUGGAAUAACAAUAUAGGAUUUCGGUUCUAUUUUGUUGGUUUCUAGGACUGAAAUAAUGAUUAAUAGGGACAGUUGGGGGCAUUCGUACUUAACUGUCAGAGGUGAAAUUCUUAGAUUUGUUAAAGACGAACUACUGCGAAAGCAUUUGCCAAAGAUGUUUUCAUUAAUCAAGAACGAAAGUUAGGGGCUCGAAGACGAUCAGAUUCCGUCGUAGUCUUAACCAUAAACUAUGCCGACUAGAGAUAGGAAAAUGUCAUUUUGCUGACUU